rnacentral:rRNA from 1 species
UACAGAGGUCUCAAGCGUUGUUCGGAUUCAUUGGGCGUAAAGGGUGCGUAGGCGGCGCGGUAAGUCGGGUGUGAAAUCUCGGGGCUUAACUCCGAAACUGCAUUCGAUACUGCCGUGCUUUGAGGACUGGAGAGGAGACUGGAAUUUACGGUGUAGCAGUGAAAUGCGUAGAUAUCGUAAGGAAGACCAGUGGCGAAGGCGGCGAUCUGGGUGGAUACUGACGCUGAGGUGCGAAAGCGUGGGGAGCAAACAGG